rnacentral:rRNA from 1 species
GUCUCGCCUGCCCUGUGACUAUAUGUUCAACGGCCGCGGUAUUUUAACCGUGCAAAGGUAGCGCAAUCACUCGUCCUUUAAAUGUGGACCUGUAUGAAUGGCAUAACGAGGGCUUGACUGUCUCCUCCUUUCAGUCAAUGAACUUGAUCUCCCCGUGCAGAAACGGGGAUGAAAUCAUAAGACAAAAAGACCCUAUGGAGCUUUAGAUAUAAAGUAGACCUUGUCAAAACCCCAAAUAAAGGGAAUUAAACUAAGUGCGACCUACUUAAAUGUCUUUGGUUGGGGCGACCGCGGGGCACCAAAAAACCCCCAUGUGGAAUGAAAAACACUUUUAAAACCGAGAGCUACCACUCUAACAAGCAGAACUUCUGACCAAUCAUGAUCCGGCCACGGCCGAUUAACGAACCGAGUUACCCUAGGGAUAACAGCGCAAUCCUCUUUAAGAGCCCAUAUCGACAAGAGGGUUUACGACCUCGAUGUUGGAUCAGGACAUCCUAAUGGUGUAACCGCUAUUAAGGGUUCGUUUGUUCAACGAUUAAAGUCCUACGUGAUCUG